UACGUAGGGUGCAAGCGUUAAUCGGAAUUAUUGGGCGUAAAGAGCGUGUAGGCGGCCAAACAGGUCCACUGUGAAAACUCGAGGCUCAACCUCGAGACGUCGGCGGAAACCAUCUGGCUAGAGUCCGGAAGAGGAGAGUGGAAUUCCUGGUGUAGCGGUGAAAUGCGUAGAUAUCGGGAGGAACACCAGUGGCGAAGGCGGCUUUCUGGCCUGUUCUUGACGCUGAGGAACGAAAGCCAGGGGAGCGAACGGG
rnacentral:rRNA from 1 species